GACGAACGCUGGCGGCGUGCUUAACACAUGCAAGUCGAACGGAAAGGCCCCUUCGGGGGUGCUCGAGUGGCGAACGGGUGAGUAACACGUGGGUGAUCUGCCCUGCACUUUGGGAUAAGCCUGGGAAACUGGGUCUAAUACCGGAUAGGACUCCGAGAUGCCUGUCUUGGGGUGGAAAGCUUUUGCGGUGUGGGAUGGGCCCGCGGCCUAUCAGCUUGUUGGUGGGGUGAUGGCCUACCAAGGCGACGACGGGUAGCCGGCCUGAGAGGGUGUCCGGCCACACUGGGACUGAGAUACGGCCCAGACUCCUACGGGAGGCAGCAGUGGGGAAUAUUGCACAAUGGGCGCAAGCCUGAUGCAGCGACGCCGCGUGAGGGAUGACGGCCUUCGGGUUGUAAACCUCUUUCACUAGGGACGAAGCGCAAGUGACGGUACCUAGAGAAGAAGCACCGGCCAACUACGUGCCAGCCGCCGCUGUAACAC
rnacentral:rRNA from 1 species